rnacentral:rRNA from 1 species
GAUCAUGGCUCAGGAUGAACGCUAGCUACAGGCUUAACACAUGCAAGUCGAGGGGCAGCGGGAGGAGUGCUUGCACUUCUUGCCGGCGACCGGCGCACGGGUGAGUAACACGUAUGCAACCUGCCUCCGUCAGGGGGACAACCCGGCGAAAGCCGGGCUAAUCCCGCGUAUAUUCCGUGAGGGCAUCCUUACGGAAGGAAAGGCUUCGGCCGGACGGGGAUGGGCAUGCGGCGCAUUAGGUAGUCGGGGGUGUAAUGGACCACCGAGCCGACGAUGCGUAGGGGUUCUGAGAGGAAGGUCCCCCACACUGGUACUGAGACACGGACCAGACUCCUACGGGAGGCAGCAGUGAGGAAUAUUGGUCAAUGGUCUGACGACUGAACCAGCCAUGCCGCGUGAAGGUGACGGCCCUAUGGGUCUUAAACUUCUUUUGUAAGGGAGCAAUAAGUCUCACGUGUGGGAUGAUGAGAGUACCUUACGAAUAAGCAUCGGCUAACUCCGUG